AAGGCGACGAUGCGUAGCCGACCUGAGAGGGUGAUCGGCCACACUGGGACUGAGACACGGCCCAGACUCCUACGGGAGGCAGCAGUAGGGAAUCUUCCGCAAUGGACGAAAGUCUGACGGAGCAACGCCGCGUGAGUGAUGAAGGUUUUCGGAUCGUAAAGCUCUGUUGUUAGGGAAGAAC
rnacentral:rRNA from 1 species